rnacentral:rRNA from 1 species
UACAGAGGUGGCAAGCGUUGUUCGGAAUUACUGGGCGUAAAGGGCGCGUAGGCGGUUCGUUAAGUCCUGUGUGAAAUCCCCCGGCUCAACUGGGGAACUGCACAGGAAACUAGCGGGCUUGAGUUCGGGAGAGGGAAGCGGAAUUCCAGGUGUAGCGGUGAAAUGCGUAGAUAUCUGGAGGAACACCGGUGGCGAAGGCGGCAUCCUGGACCAACACUGACGCUGAGUGAGCGAAAGCCAGGGGAGCAAACGGG